UACGUAGGGCGCAAGCGUUGUCCGGAAUUAUUGGGCGUAAAGAGCUCGUAGGCGGUUUGUCGCGUCUGUCGUGAAAGCCCACGGCUUAACCGUGGGUCUGCGGUGGAUACGGGCAGACUAGAGGCAGGUAGGGGAGAAUGGAAUUCCCGGUGUAGCGGUGAAAUGCGCAGAUAUCGGGAGGAACACCAACGGCGAAAGCACUCUGCUGGGCCGACACUGACACUGAGAGACGAAAGCUAGGGGAGCAAAUGGG
rnacentral:rRNA from 1 species